UUCUUACUCCCUCCGUUCAGAAUUACUUGUCUUGGAAAUUGAUGCAUCUAGAACUAAAAUACGUCUAGAUACAUCCAUUUUCGCGACAAGUAAUUCCGAACGGAGGGAGUACCUU
rfam:Triticum aestivum genome assembly, contig: Triticum_aestivum_CS42_TGACv1_scaffold_514213_6BS